UACGAAGGGGGCUAGCGUUGCUCGGAAUCAUUGGGCGUAAAGGGUGCGUAGGCGGCGCGGUAAGUCGGGUGUGAAAUCUCGGAGCUUAACUCCGAAACUGCAUUCGAUACUGCCGUGCUUGAGGACUGGAGAGGAGACUGGAAUUUACGGUGUAGCGGUGAAAUGCGUAGAUAUCGUAAGGAAGACCAGUGGCGGAAGGCGGGUCUCUGGACAGUUCCUGACGCUGAGGCACGAAGGUCAGGGGAGCAAACGGG
rnacentral:rRNA from 1 species